GUAAGGCCUGUUAUAGCGGUGUGUUCGGCGGCUCCUCAGUGUGCAUUGACCCCGAGUCGGGAGAGGAGGUCGAACGGAGUCCGAAGCCGAGUCGCCGGGUCGCUCUGUCCUGCUGUGGUUUAGCCUGUGUCUGCGCUGACUGAGAUGGCACUCGUCGUGUGUUUGACAGCUGCCUUUGUAGUGGCAAGCAUACAAAGCUCCGUGGAAGCAGCUGAACCUCACGCGAUCAAAGGAAACAUCUUUUUCUUGAAGCCAAAUGUAACGGCUGCCUCGGGAACUCGGGUCGGAGCCGGCUACGAGUGCGGCGACUUCUUCCUUAACGACGGGGAGGAAGUGAUCUUGGUGUCUGGCGAUGACAACUU
rnacentral:lncRNA from 1 species